rnacentral:piRNA from 1 species
UGAGGACCUGAGUUCAACCCCCCAAUACCCGC